GGGGGCGACAGGCUUCGACAGGGGCUUGUAUAGAUCUUUGAGUGCACGUCGGGCUUGUGUUGUCAGCUCGUUAAAACGACGAUACAAAAACAAAUGCUAAUCAAGAAUUAGCUCUUGCUGCCUAACAUUAGUUAGCUACAGCAAUGUCUCACCGGAAGUUCGCCUCAUGCGACCGGCCGAGGCAUAACCCAGUUGAGGCUCGGGCACGUCCACCACCUGCGGACGUGACUUAAAGUUAGUCAGGUUAGCCCAGGACGAGGUCUUGUCAGUUCAUCUGCUUGACCUGGGCGAAACUCAAGUGAAUUGACUAAACGUGUAGAUUUCACUGGUCGCAACCUUUGGAUGCGGGUUCGAUUCCCGCCGCCUCCACCA
rnacentral:tmRNA from 1 species